UCCCAAAUGAUAAAAACUUGAUUUAAUCUUUUAAAAAAUAUAAAGAUAUAGACUAUUAGAAUAGUAAAUUUACCUUUUUACUAUUAUAAAAGAUAUAUAAUUUAAUUCCAACCCCUCAAAAAAAUUUUUUGACUUCGCCCUAAUUAAACCCCUAAUUUCAGAUUGCCGAAGAUGAAGCCAUGAUCUACUUUGAGCUUUGUUUAACGAGGAUGACCGGAAGGCAAUAUCCAUGAUUCCAAUUGGAGGUGUUGAUAAAAAAGGUAACACUCAUAUGGCAUCACUCUUCGAAUGGAAGUGACAUAUCUCGUGCUUUCGAUCAUCCUCAACCAAUGGGCUCUUGUGUGAAAACACCAUGGAAGAUCCAUGAACUAUAUGAGACGUAGAGCGGGUUGCAACAUAUCCUUUUCUUUUGCCCUUCUUCUCAAGGCGCCGUUUGGAAGGCUUCCUCCUUCCACUACACUCUGGCUUUCAUGGGAUUCGGAUCCUUUGCAAGCUGGUGGAUGAAGAUUGACCAAAAGCUGCCCAAAUUUGGAGCUUUCUAUAGUAUCAAUCUUAUAGAUGCUACAACAUUUGGA
rnacentral:lncRNA from 1 species